rnacentral:rRNA from 1 species
UACGUAGGUGGCAAGCGUUGUCCGGAUUUAUUGGGCUUAAAGGGUGCGUAGGCGGCCCUGUAAGUCAGUGCUGAAAUAUCCCGGCUUAACCGGGAGGGUGGCAUUGAUACUGCGGGGCUAGAGUACAGAUGAGGUAGGCGGAAUUGACGGUGUAGCGGUGAAAUGCUUAGAUAUCGUCAAGAACACCUAUAGCGAAGGCAGCUUACUAGGCUGUAACUGACGCUGAGGCACGAAAGUGUGGGGAUCAAACAGG